rnacentral:lncRNA from 1 species
GAGUGUGUUAUAAUCUUUCCUUAUAUAUUGUAUAUCCAUAGAUAGGCAACAGUUGAAUAUAGUUUUCUUAUAUAGUGUAUAUUCAUAAAUAGGCAACAACUGUAUAUAGUUUCCUUGUUUAGGGAGAUUUUGAUUGAUAGAAGAUUGAUAGUAAGUUAUAAUUAAGGAAAGAAUUUUCUAUUUAAUGAGAGGAACCCUCCAUUGAGAGGGAUUCAGAUCAUUUGACAUGGUAUCAGAGCCUCCCCUCUGAUCCUAAGGAUUUCUCGAUCUCAAUCUCUCAGUAAAGCCCUCGAGCUCUUGCAUUUUGUUCUAGUUUCUGGUCAGUUUUGAUUCUGGUGCCUGUGCUAGCCAAUCUCGGCUAUUCUGGAGAUUGAGGUUCUCGGCAGUUUGCAGUAUUCUCGGCAGCAAGAUCUCUUGGAGAUUCUCGGUACUGGUCUGCAGAAGCAAGUUUCGGCUUGACCUGGUUAUUAAGAUAUGAAUUCUUCUUCUCUUGAAGUGCUUCGGGUUUUCUCAGGUCAAUAUUUUUUUUUGAAACUUUUCAGCCCUUUUCUUCCAUUUUGCUUUAUAAUGUCAGGAAAAAAUUUUAUUGUUCGUUUUAAUGAAAAAAAUUACUCCACAUGGGAGUUCCAAUUCAAGAUGUUUGUGAAGGGAAAGGAAUUGUGGAGUCAUUUAGAUGACUCGUCUAAGGCUCCCACUGAGUCAAAGGAGCUUGACCAAUGGGAGAGCAAGGAUGCACGAAUUGUGUCUUGGUUGCUGGGUUCAAUUGAGCCACAUAUGGUAAAUAAUCUUCGAUCAUUCACUACCGCUAAGGAGCUGUGGGAUUAUCUCAGGCGUUUUUAUAAAUAAAAUAAUAAUGCCCAAAGGUUUCAGUUGGAAUUAGAGAUUGCUAACUACAGUCAAGGUAAUCUCUCUAUUGAACAAUUCUAUGUUGGAUUCCUUAAUUUGUGGAGCAAAUAUUCUGGGAUAGUUCAUUCUAAGGUUCCCAAGGAAGCACUAGCGGCACUACAAGUAGUCCAUGCUGUGAGAGUCAAAGAGAUCAAUUUCUGAUGAAGCUAAGACCAGAAUUUGAGAUUGCACAGGCUGGUUUGCUAAAUCGCAAUCCUAUUUAUCUUUUGGAUGUUGUUCGUAACUUGUUGAUUGAAUCUUCUAUGCCUACUAAAUUUUGGGUAGAAGCCCUAUCUACGGCUAUUUAUUUGAUUAAUCGUUUGCCCUCCUAGAUUUUACACUAUGAUUCUCCGUAUUCUCGUUUGUUUGGUGUUGCUCCUGAGUAUCACUCUCUCCACACAUUUGGUUGUGUUUGUUUUGUUCACUUGCCACCCACUGAACAUCACAAGCUUGCUACUCAAGCUGCUCGGUGUGCAUUUCUGGGGUACAGUAAUGCACAUAAAGGGUUUGUGUGUUAUGAUGUGGCUGCUAACAAGCUCUGUGUCUCUCGAAAUGUGGUUUUCUUUGAAAACCAAUAUUUCUUUCAGUCUCGUGUCACUCAUGAUUCCACUUCCGUUAUGCUUCUUACUUUUAAUGAUGUGCCUUGUACUAUUGAGCGUUUUAAGCCAGAGGUCGUGUAUUAGAGACAUCGCCCACUAUCCCCAAUGCCUCUUUCUGACACUGAACCAACGCCUGAUCCAGUCGCGCCUGAACCUUGAUGGUCAACCCAUGUCACUCGCCCUCCGGAUAGGUAUGGUUUCUCUCAUACAACGCUUCAGGCAACUCUAGAUACUACUUCUGUGCCUUCGUCUUACUCUCAAGCUUCUACUCAAGCAUGUUGGCAGCGAGCUAUGCAAGAAGAGCUUCAGGCUCUUCAAGACAACCACACCUGGGAUAUCGUACCGUGUUCCGAUGGGGUGAAGCUUGUUGGAUGCAAAUAGGUAUAUACAAUCAAGCUGCGGCCUGAUGGUUCCAUAGAAAGGUAUAAAGCACGUCUGGUGGCACUUGGGAAUCGACAGGCGUAUGGUCUUGAUUAUGAGAAGACCUUUGCACCCGUGGCUAAGAUGACUACCGUACGAACCAUCGUGGCCAUGGCUGCCUCGAAGGGACGGUCUCUUCGACAGAUGGAUGUGAAGAAUGCAUUUUUACAUGGAGAUCUGAAGAAAGAGAUCUACAUGACUCCUCCAUGCAUGUUCACUCACUCCUCUGAGGUUUGUCGGUUGAAGCGGUCUCUGUACGGGUUAAAGCAGGCAUUGCGUGCAUGGUUUGAGAAGUUUCGUACUACUCUUCUUGAUUUUGAUUUUACUCAGAGUCAGUUUGAUUCCUCUCUCUUUCUUAGAAAAAUUGCUACUAGGAUUGUUGUGCUUCUUGAGCAGCUGCAGCAGCACCUCAAGAUUUCCUUUCAUAUGAAGAAUCUUGGUCCGCUACAGUAUUUUCUUGGCCUUGAAGUGCAACUUACUCCGACUGAUACGCUUUUGCAUCAGCACAAGUAUACCUAGGAGAUUAUUAUUUUGCAGGUCUUCAGUCAGGAAACUCGAUACUUACACCUAUGGAGGUAAAUUUGAAGCUACGUUAGGAGAAGGGUGAGCUAUUAUCUGAUCCAUCCCUAUAUAGGCAGCUGGUAGGGAGUUUGAAUUAUUUGAUGAUUACCAGGCCUGAUAUCUCCUCUGCAGUCCAGUAGGUCAGUCAGUUUAUGCAGGCACCUCGACAUUUCUACUUGGCCAUGAUGAGACGUAUUCUUCAUUAUCUGAAGGGUACUUCUGAUCAAGGGUUAUUCUUUCCUACUAGGUCUUCUCUACAGUUGAUUGGGCUGGUUGUGCGGAUAUUCAUCGUUCGGUUACUAGUUGGUGCAUGUUUCUUGGCAAUGCUCUUAUUUCUUGAAAAAGAAGCAAGAUCGAGUAUCGAAGUCCUCCACUAAGUCUGAGUAUCGUGCUAUGUCAUCAGCAUGCUCUGAGAUUGUGUGGCUUCGGGGCCUAUUGGGCGAACUUGGUAUUCCUCAACUUACCCCUACUCCACUUCAUGCUGACAACACAAGUGCUAUUCAAAUUGCUGCCAAUCCGGUCUUUCAUGAACGCACCAAGCAUAUUGAAGUAGAGUGUCAUUCCAUUCGUGAAGCACUUGAUCAACAUGUGAUUACUCUCCCUCACAUUUCCACCGACCUUCAAACAGCUGAUGUGUUUACCAAGGCUCUACCACGUCACCGGCGUCAGUUCAUGGUUGACAAAUUGAUGCUUCUUGAUCGGCCAACAUCAAUUUGAGGGGGGAUGUCAGUGUGUACACUGUACAGUGUACAGCUGUGUGUGUGUUGGUGUGGGUGUGUUGGUGUCGGUGUGUUGUAAUCUUUCCUUAUAUAGUGUAUAUCCAUAGAUAAGCAACAGUUGUAUAUAGUUUCCUUAUAUAGUGUAUAUCCAUAGAUAGGCAACAGUUGUUUAGGAAGAUUUUGAUUGAUAGAAGAUUGAUGGUAGGCUGUAAUUAAGGAAAGAAUUUUUUAUUUAAUGAAAGGAACCCUUCAUUGAGAUGGAUUCAGAUCAUUUGACAUCUUCUAGCAUGUAGCAUCUCACUAAUGAUCUUAUAUUUUGUAUCGUUUUAAAACAAUAAAAUGUAUCAUUCAGAUUAAACUAAGAUCAUAGAAAUAUCAACAAAUAUCAAAAAAAUAUCAAAUUAGACUUAAAAUCAUUGAAAAAGUUGAAAAAGAUUGAUUACCAAUUAAUUGAACUUGAAAACUCAAAAAAAAAAAAGGCGUGCCAAUUCGAAAUCGCACCCCCAAGCAUACCAUGUCGGUACGAUACUGAACCGGUACCGUAUCGACCCAUCCGCCGACUGGUACAGGUCUUGGUACUAGUUCAGCAAACCUUGGUCAACACAAAAUACAUGCACAGAAACAGAAAAUGAUUAAAUUAGCCACCCCAAGAAAUGUUGGCAAGUCAUUAGCAUGACAUAGAGGUGCUCACAAAUUUACUACCUGUGAUAAU